rnacentral:rRNA from 1 species
AUGGUUAAGUUAGAAAGGGCGCACGGUGAAUGCCUUGGCACUAGGAGCCGAUGAAGGACGGGACUAACACCGAUAUGCUUCGGGGAGCUGUAAGUGAGCUUUGAUCCGGAGAUUUCCGAAUGGGGAAACCCACUGUUCGUAAUGGAACAGUAUCUUUAUCUGAAUACAUAGGAUAUUGAAGGCAGACCCGGGGAACUGAAACAUCUAAGUACCCGGAGGAAGAGAAAGCAAAUGCGAUUUCCUGAGUAGCGGCGAGCGAAACGGAAUUAGCCCAAACCAAGAGGCUUGCCUCUUGGGGUUGUAGGACACUCUAUACGGAGUUACAAAGGAACGAAGUAAAUGAAGCGACCUGGAAAGGUCCGUCGAAGAAGGUAACAACCCUGUAGUUGAAACUUCGUUCCCUCUUGAGUGGAUCCUGAGUACGGCGGAACACGUGAAAUUCCGUCGGAAGCUGGGAGGACCAUCUCCCAAGGCUAAAUACUACCUAGUGACCGAUAGUGAACCAGUACCGUGAGGGAAAGGUGAAAAGCACCCCGGAAGGGGAGUGAAAGAGAUCCUGAAACCGUGUGCCUACAAGUAGUCAGAGCCCGUUAACGGGUGAUGGCGUGCCUUUUGUAGAAUGAACCGGCGAGUUACGAUCCCAUGCAAGGUUAAGCUGAUAAGGCGGAGCCGUAGCGAAAGCGAGUCUGAAUAGGGCGUUUAGUAUGUGGUUGUAGACCCGAAACCAGGUGAUCUACCCAUGUCCAGGGUGAAGUUCAGGUAACACUGAAUGGAGGCCCGAACCCACGCACGUUGAAAAGUGCGGGGAUGAGGUGUGGGUAGCGGAGAAAUUCCAAUCGAACCUGGAGAUAGCUGGUUCUCUCCGAAAUAGCUUUAGGGCUAGCCUCAUGUUGUGAGAGUCUUGGAGGUAGAGCACUGAUUGGACUAGGGGCCCCCAACGGGUUACCGAAUUCAGUCAAACUCCGAAUGCCAAAGACUUAUCCAUGGGAGUCAGACUGCGAGUGAUAAGAUCCGUAGUCAAAAGGGAAACAGCCCAGACCACCAGCUAAGGUCCCCAAGUAUACGUUAAGUGGAAAAGGAUGUGGAGUUGCUUAGACAACCAGGAUGUUGGCUUAGAAGCAGCCACCAUUUAAAGAGUGCGUAAUAGCUCACUGGUCGAGUGACUCUGCGCCGAAAAUGUACCGGGGCUAAACGUAUCACCGAAGCUGUGGAUUGACAUCUUAGAUGUCAGUGGUAGGAGAGCGUUCUAAGUGCUGUGAAGUCAGACCGUAAGGACUGGUGGAGCGCUUAGAAGUGAGAAUGCCGGUAUGAGUAGCGAAAGACAAGUGAGAAUCUUGUCCACCGAAUGCCUAAGGUUUCCUGAGGAAGGCUCGUCCGCUCAGGGUUAGUCGGGACCUAAGCCGAGGCUGAAAAGCGUAGGCGAUGGCCAACAGGUUGAUAUUCCUGUACCACCUCCCCGCCGUUUGAGUAAUGGGGGGACGCAGUAGGAUAGGGUAAGCGCGCUGCUGGAUAUGCGCGUUCAAGCAGUUAGGCUGAUGAGUAGGCAAAUCCGCUCAUCAUAAAGGCUGAGCUGUGAUGACGAGGGAAUUAUAGUACCGAAGUUCCUGAUUCCACACUGCCAAGAAAAGCCUCUAGCGAGGCGGGAGGUGCCCGUACCGCAAACCGACACAGGUAGGCGAGGAGAGAAUCCUAAGGUGAUCGAGAGAACUCUCGUUAAGGAACUCGGCAAAAUGACCCCGUAACUUCGGGAGAAGGGGUGCUCUGGUAGGGUGUAUAGCCCGAGAGAGCCGCAGUGAAUAGGCCCAGGCGACUGUUUAGCAAAAACACAGGUCUCUGCGAAGCCGCAAGGCGAAGUAUAGGGGCUGACGCCUGCCCGGUGCUGGAAGGUUAAGAGGAGGGGUUAUCCUUUGGGAGAAGCUCUGAAUCGAAGCCCCAGUAAACGGCGGCCGUAACUAUAACGGUCCUAAGGUAGCGAAAUUCCUUGUCGGGUAAGUUCCGACCCGCACGAAAGGCGUAACGAUCUGGGCACUGUCUCAACGAGAGACUCGGUGAAAUUAUAGUACCUGUGAAGAUGCAGGUUACCCGCGACAGGACGGAAAGACCCCGUGGAGCUUUACUGUAGCCUGAUAUUGAAUUUUGGUACAGCUUGUACAGGAUAGGUAGGAGCCUGAGAAGCCGGAGCGCUAGCUUCGGUGGAGGCGUCGGUGGGAUACUACCCUGGCUGUAUUGAAAUUCUAACCCGCGGCCCUGAUCGGGCCGGGAGACAGUGUCAGGUGGGCAGUUUGACUGGGGCGGUCGCCUCCUAAAAUGUAACGGAGGCGCCCAAAGGUUCCCUCAGAAUGGUUGGAAAUCAUUCGUAGAGUGUAAAGGCACAAGGGAGCUUGACUGCGAGACCUACAAGUCGAGCAGGGACGAAAGUCGGGCUUAGUGAUCCGGUGGUUCCGCAUGGAAGGGCCAUCGCUCAACGGAUAAAAGCUACCCCGGGGAUAACAGGCUUAUCUCCCCCAAGAGUCCACAUCGACGGGGAGGUUUGGCACCUCGAUGUCGGCUCAUCGCAUCCUGGGGCUGUAGUCGGUCCCAAGGGUUGGGCUGUUCGCCCAUUAAAGCGGUACGCGAGCUGGGUUCAGAACGUCGUGAGACAGUUCGGUCCCUAUCCGUCGUGGGCGUAGGAAAUUUGAGAGGAGCUGUCCUUAGUACGAGAGGACCGGGAUGGACACACCGCUGGUGUACCAGUUGUCUUGCCAAAGGCAUUGCUGGGUAGCUAUGUGUGGACGGGAUAAGUGCUGAAAGCAUCUAAGCAUGAAGCCCCCCUCAAGAUGAGAUUUCCCAUAGCGCAAGCUAGUAAGAUCCCUGAAAGAUGAUCAGGUUGAUAGGUCAGAGGUGGAAGCGUGGCGACAUGUGUAGCUGACUGAUACUAAUCGAUCGAGGACUUAACCAAAC